UCAUAACAUUUUAGUGGCAGCGUAAAGG
rnacentral:piRNA from 1 species